UACGUAGGCAGCGAGCGUUGUUCGGAGUUACUGGGCGUAAAGGGUGCGUAGGCGGUUGUUUAAGUUUGGUGUGAAAUCUCCCGGCUCAACUGGGAGGGUGCGCCGAAUACUGAAUGACUAGAGUGCGGGAGAGGAUAGUGGAAUUCCUGGUGUAGCGGUGAAAUGCGCAGAUAUCAGGAGGAACACCGGUGGCGAAGGCGGUCUGCUGGGCAGUUGCUGACGCUGAGUGCGCGACAGCGUGGGGAGCAAACAGG
rnacentral:rRNA from 1 species